AGGGUUUGAUUCUGGCUCAGGAUGAACGCUAGCUACAGGCUUAACACAUGCAAGUCGAGGGGCAGCAUCAUCAAAGCUUGCUUUGAUGGAUGGCGACCGGCGCACGGGUGAGUAACACGUAUCCAACCUGCCGACAACACUGGGAUAGCCUUUCGAAAGAAAGAUUAAUACCGGAUGGCAUAGUUUUCCCGCAUGGGAUAAUUAUUAAAGAAUUUCGGUUGUCGAUGGGGAUGCGUUCCAUUAGGCAGUUGGCGGGGUAACGGCCCACCAAACCAACGAUGGAUAGGGGUUCUGAGAGGAAGGUCCCCCACAUUGGAACUGAGACACGGUCCAA
rnacentral:rRNA from 1 species